rnacentral:tRNA from 1 species
GUGGAUGUAGCUCAGUUGGCAGAGCCCCUGGUUGUGGUCCAGGUGGUCGCGAGUUCAAGUCUCGUCAUCCACCCCG